GGGUCAGUAGGUUGGUCGUGCCUCCGGUACGUACUGGUCUCACUGAUUCCUCCUUCCUGAAGAACCGUAAUGCCAUUAAUUUGGUGUUGCGGGGAAACAGGACUGUUACUUUGAAAAAAUUAGAGUGUUUAAAGCAGGCUAACGCUUGAAUACAUUAGCAUGGAAUAAUGAAAUAGGACGAUCGAUCCUAUUUUGUUGGUUUCUAGGAUUGACGUA
rnacentral:rRNA from 1 species